rnacentral:misc_RNA from 1 species
CGCUCGUGCAUUCGGAUGCGGAACGCUAAGCGAUGCUCGGGGCGCGCACAGCAGCCCCCGCAUGACCCUAAACAGCGAGCGAAACAUCGCUCCCCGAGAAUGACCACCGCCGCGCUCGCUCUUCCAUCCAACCGUUCGCUCGGCGACGGGAGCUAGCRCGCCGCGGUGCCUUCAAGGGCCGCUACCUGGUUGAUCCUGCCAGUAGUCAUAUGCU